UACGAAGGGUGCAAGCGUUACUCGGAAUUACUGGGCGUAAAGCGUGCGUAGGUGGUUUGUUAAGUCUGAUGUGAAAGCCCUGGGCUCAACCUGGGAAUUGCAUUGGAUACUGGCAGGCUAGAGUGCGGUAGAGGGUAGUGGAAUUCCCGGUGUAGCAGUGAAAUGCGUAGAGAUCGGGAGGAACAUCUGUGGCGAAGGCGACUACCUGGACCAGCACUGACACUGAGGCACGAAAGCGUGGGGAGCAAACAGGG
rnacentral:rRNA from 1 species